rnacentral:rRNA from 1 species
CAGCCGCCGCGGUAAUACGAGGGGGGCAAGCGUUGUUCGGAAUUAUUGGGCGUAAAGGGUGCGUAGGCGGCUUGACAAGUCUUGUGUGAAAUCUAUGGGCUCAACCCAUAGUCUGCACGGGAAACUGUCGGGCUUGAGAAUGGGAGAGGUGAGUGGAAUUUCCGGUGUAGCGGUGAAAUGCGUAGAUAUCGGAAGGAACACCUGUGGCGAAAGCGGCUCACUGGACCAUUUCUGACGCUGAUGCACGAAAGCUAGGGGAGCAAACAGGAUUAGAUACCCGGGUAGUCCCUGUCUCUUAUAC